rnacentral:lncRNA from 1 species
GUUAUAGUGAAUUUCCAAGUGAGGCUUGGGGAGUGGACGUAGGAGCAAAGGUUAGCUCCGAACCACUAUAAAUUUGCUUGUGUUUGUGAUUGCUUUAUUGUCUCUUACUUUCCCUUCAUCCACUGCAUAUAGCAACUAAUUAAACCACUUGCAAAAAGUUUUAAUUAGUUACUCACAAACCUUUUAAUUGCAACAAAUAUUUUAAAACCUAAUUCACCCCCCCUC